GGGAGGUGGGCUGAGCACCCUGAAGGCAGAGCGGCGGAACAGCUCUGAGGGAGAAGGUCUACCGCAGAAGGGCUUGGCUGCGGCCUAAACCUCUUGGGACCCCCACCUUUGCUCGGGCCAGCAGCCUGUCUCCCAGCAGCUGACCCCGGCCUUCCCUCGGUCCUGCCGACACCCCUCCAACCAGAUGCUCGGGUGGGCAGGCCCCAUGCACACUGGGCCAACCGGGUCCCAGGCAGGUAGGCAGUGACCCAGGCCCAUGCCACCCAGCAACUGCCAUGGACAGAUGAGCUGGCAGCGCCCUCAGCCCUACCACGCAGGUGCUCGCAAGGACAGACACACCCAGGCCCAGCAACAUGACAGCUCCCCACCACGGGGACAGUGGCCCGGCCAACAGACAACAAGGCAGGUGGCAGAACAGCCCUUUAUCAACAGUCACAGCAUGAACUGGUCUCGCAGCCAAGCCGCUCAGGUCAUUUCGGGCAGCAGCUUCCAGAAGGGUGACACUGGGAGGGAAGAGGACCCGCUUCCGCGGCACGCCACCCGCUACCUCCUUCCGUGGCCUCUCCCUGUGGCUCUUCUCAGCCUGGGCCCACAUCUUCACCUGCUGGGCGCGUCGCUUCUGGGCAUGCUUCAGCCGCUCCUGUGUGCUCAUCCGGCCCACUACAGGCAUCUCUGCCAGCAGCUCUAGGUGCUCAGCCAUGGUGGGGGCUGCCUACCAGGGGGGCUGCCCGGGACACCAGGUGCCCACCAGGAGUCCCAAUUUUCACUCGGCCAGGCCCUGUGACCAUCUAGAUACAGACCCAGACCUGCACUUGGACGUCUCAGAGAUGCCAUCCACCUCGUCAUUUUAUAGAAGAGAUUCCGAUGCCUACAUUCUACAGAAAACAACCUAAAAUAGCAACCAGCUUUUCAAACUGAGUACAUGCUGCUCUUGGCUUACGCAUCCUGAAGGCCGUCUGUGAAAGUCCACCACACAGCAGGACCCAGAACCUCAACACGCCUCUCCACCAGCCCUGCCCUCUGGCUGCGGCGGGAAGAGAGGGCCCCCAGUGCCCUGGGCAGCGCACAGAGAAGCCAGUGUCCUGGCCUGGGCUGUGGCAGCUUACGAGGGUCCUCAGCCCCCGACUCUCGUGGGUCCGCCUUCCUGAGGCCCCGGUCUCCUCGGGGCGGUCUCCGUCACCGUGGGCAGCCCUGACUGCCUCUUCUGUACCCAAGCUGAGCCUGAGGGGGCCCAGGGAGUCCCAGAGACCUGCGGCAGGGGGCACCGCCAUCUGGCAGAGCCUCCGUCGAGGGGGCAUGACAGUGUCUUGUGCCUGGCUCCUCCCAGACUGAGCCUUGAACUUCCAAGCCCCUGGCCCCCUGGAUCCUCCUGCUACCCCCCAGAGCCUCAGUCGGUCACCUUCUCCCAGCCACUCAGCCCAGGGACAGUCCACCGGAGCUAGAAGACUUGCCCUUUGGCUGAGCCAGGAAGGACAAGGCGUUCAGUGGAGUCUGUCCGAACGGCCACCACACCACACCCAGAACAAGGCGGGCUGAGCAGGGCAGCUCUGCCUUGGUGCACAAAUCUGCCCCAAGCCUCCCUGGAAUAUCAAACAGAUAACCUGGCAGUUUUUCCCAGGUCUUGGCUCCGUGCCCAAGCAAGCUGCAUGGAGUGCGGAACUGAGAUCAGGAGAGGCCCGGGGAAGGACCGCAGCAACUGUGCAGUACUGGACACCUGGUUUUGGGGACAGGAACCCAUGCCCAGACCCCAUCCAGGCCCGGACAGAGCCAUGCUGGCCUGAGGGUCUCAGCAGCCUUCCAUAACGCCUACCACAGCUCUCCGCCAGUAGGUCCCAUCAUUACCCCCAUUUUCCACAUGGGGAAGCUGAGGCCAUGCCUGGACCUGGAGUCCUGUGACCCACUUCACAACACUGCCUCUCAUGUCCACCUCAGGAUCUGUGUGAGAAUCAGAGAUGGUGUGGCAGAAGCCCAGAGCCUGCGAGGAGCGGUAAGUACCACCUCCUCACCCAGAGAGGCCAUGCCAUGUUCAGAGAGGGAGGAAGGGAUGAAGGGGUCUCAGAGGAAUGCUGAGGGAGAGGGGAUGGAGGCUGGGGAGCCCCCCUGUAUCAGGCCCAGGGCACACCUUUCCCCUGAUUCUGGGGCUGUAGGUCCUAUCCUGCUUGGCUUGUUGGAGUGGGUUACUACAACUUGCAAUCCAAAGACUGCUUUAUCUGUUGUCUGUCCACAAUAGUGAAAGCUGGGCAGCUGGGUGCCCCUCACCCUGGGAAAAUGAUGUGUGCAUUACCAUCCUGCACAGCAGCAAGAUGAGGCCAUCUAUCUGCCAAGGGCCAGGGCUGUGACUUGGUCACCGAAAGCCCAGGGUGGAGGUGACACUGCCCAGGUGUUGAGGAUGGAUACAGAUGCUUGUUUCUUUGCACAAACAGAGAGGGCAUGAGGGCAAGGACUGUGACCUGAGAUCAUGGGGCAGCAAGGGCACCCAGCCCCCACCCGGCUUGGCUCCCCUUGGAAGACUCCAGUCCCCCCAUGGCUCCAAGCCCGGGAGGCUUCCCCGGCUGGCCCUGUGUCUCAUCCUGUCUCUUCCACUAGAGGGCAUGGCCCCUGCUGUCUCCUCAGCCACACCUGGACCCUGCAACAGGACCCUGGGUGUCUGUGACGGGCUGAGGAGGCAAGGCCAGGCGCAGUCAGGGAGCACGACCAGCUGAGGCCCAGGGGCCCUGUGGCCAGCACCGUCCAGUCAGGGAGGAGCUAGAUGCCCAGAGAUCCUCAGACACACCAAGUAGAGGACAAGACCAUGAAGAGCAGCCCCGCCUGCCCUCCGAUGUGUCCCGAUGGGCACUCCGCUGUGUGCGUGCUCUGGUCACUUGGCCAGCACACCUCCCUCCUGGCUCCCUGCUUGACCUAGCUUUGCUCUUGGGGUGGGGACAGGGGAUAGGUGGGAACAGCAGAGGAACAGGAUGUGCAUCAGUGGUGGGGCACAGGGGACCCUGGGGGCAGUUCUGUGCCCAGACAAGCGAGGAAGCGGCCCUGCUGUAAGCCCAUGGCAGGGCCUCGCCUGCUCCCCACAGGCUCUGAACAGAGCUUGAGAGCUGGCAGUGGGCAGGGUGGGCUGAGGAGGUGCGGCAGCGAGGACAGGGAGGCUGGGGCCAAGCACUGCCGCAGGCGGGCAGGCAGCCCAC